GAGAGGGUAGCUCAGUGGUAAAGUGCAUGCUUAGCAUGCACGAGGUCCUGGGCUCAAUCCCCAGCGCUUCCA
rnacentral:tRNA from 1 species